rnacentral:rRNA from 1 species
UACGGGGGGGGCAAGCGUUGUUCGGAAUUACUGGGCGUAAAGGGCUCGUAGGCGGCCAACUAAGUCGGAUGUGAAAUCCCCAGGCUUAACCUGGGAACUGCAUCCGAUACUGGAUGGCUUGAAUCCGGGAGAGGGAUGCGGAAUUCCAGGUGUAGCGGUGAAAUGCGUAGAUAUCAAGUGGAACACCAGUGGCGAAGGCGAGUCUCUGGACAUUUCCUGACGCUGAGGCACGAAAGCCAGGGGAGCAAACGGG